AAACAAUGACACGCCUCACCGAGGAAAUGGUCAUUGCUCGCUCCAAGCAAUCCGAUUUGGGGUCCAUCAAAAAGCUCAAUUGCUGUUGAAGAGGUCGAUGGUUGUUCAGAACGAGACAUGUUUUCAACGAUCGUUCAACCUUUGAAGGUUUUGUACCACUCGUGGGCUGGUGUUUCCGAACCAUCGAAUCAAAUUACAUUUGCCAUUGGAAAUUCUAAUGCAUCAGCAGACAAAUCUAGAGUUAACAGGACGUGGAACGCCAAGCAGCAAUCAAGGGGAAGUGAUCUCAGCGAUGUCUCCAUAAUUAAAAGAAUGCGUGGUGUGGAAGUAUUGGCGCUAAGUGUCAACAAAAUAACCACACUGCAACCAUUCGAAGACUGCCUAAAACUUCAGGAAUUAUAUUUGCGUAAAAACAAUAUACAGGAUAUUAAUGAAAUCGCUUAUCUGCAAAACUUGCCAGUACUCAAGUAUUUGUGGUUGGAGGAAAAUCCAUGCUGUGAUCGAGUUGGACCCAGUUACCGCCAAACAGUGCUGCGCGCCUUGCCGAAUCUCAAGAAGUUGGAUAAUGUGGAGGUGACGCAAGAGGAGCUUGAUGAGGCGUUGCGCGCUGGUGGUAGCGGCAGUGGCAGCGGUGGUACGCGCGAAGAGGAAGACGUCUAUGAGGAUAGCUAUGCGCAACAACAACCACCGUCACGUUACGAACAACCGUCGCCUCCACAGCAACAACAGCAACAACAAGCGCAACAAAAUCACUACCCGCCACAACGACAACAACAGCAACAGCAGCAACAGCAACAAGCGUCGCAAUAUCCACACCAUCCGUCACCGCAACAGUAUCAACAGCAACAACGACGCAGUUCCAGUCCAAUGAAAGAGCCCUCGACACAAAAUAGUCCGGCAAAUACUGAGGAAAGCGCCAGCGAACCAAGCAAAAGCAACGAGGUCUCAAAACCAGCCUCACCCGCACAGGAGCCAGUUGCGCAUACACCCUCACCGAAAUAUAAUUCAUACACGAACGUGAAUCGGUUGUCUUAUCAUCAAUAUGAUAAACUGGCGAAUUCGGUGACAUUACCUUAUGCAAAUUCGGUGUACGAGUAUGUGACACCAGAACAAGGUUUGGCUGGGUGUGUUCAAGGAAAUGGUGAAAUUCGUGCCGAAUUAACACAUUUCCAUGGUCGUCGAAAGGUGGGUUGGGCAGAGACAAAUUAUGUUUGUAUGUGCGCUUAGCGAAGCGGAAAUGAACUCAUAACUCCGCAUUAGGAGCCUAGAAGCGAUGCGGUCAUUGUGCUCAUAGUCAAAGGAUCUCAGUCGCUCCCCAGGCUCGGACCAGGAUAGUCCGCAUGUGGGGUAUCGGGAACGCGCGCCCAUACCGCCUAGUAUAUCCACACAAUCGAUGAAG
rnacentral:misc_RNA from 1 species